GGCAAUUGUCCCAUAACUCUAGACACAAAACCACACACUCUUUAACUCACAACUUCUAAUAUUUACGUUAAAGACAUUAAUAAGUAUUCAGUGUGACAAUUGUCCUGAGAUGACUUACAUGAUAAGCAUGUUUGCUUUCUUAGUCAGUGAUACCCACACAACAGACAGACUUCUCAUAUAUAGACCAAAGAUAUAGUAUGUAAUAUUGACAGCUAGUGUUUUAAAUGGGUGCUGCAAGUUCAAAAUAUCUCUUUCAAGUGUAGAAAUCAGGAAAUAUAUUGUAAAUUGUAAUUUCCCUACUGUAUUGUAAAGCAAAAUAAUAUACCUGUGAAAUAUAAAUUUUUAUUUGUUUUACAGUGCAGUUGUUUUAGUUUCCAACAUUAUCAGUGAUAAUGUUAAAUCUUUAUUUAUUGUAUGAGCGUGUGAGCCUGUGUGUGGAUAAAACCUUUCAGGGUGUAGUGCGUAAAAACCUCUAUGUUUGAGCAGUAGUUCCUAGAUUAAACAUCACUUUUAAUCAGGUUCACCACAAUUCUAAUCACAUUGAAAAAAAAAAAAAGAUUUUCUUACAUAGUAUUUUUGUCUUCUUUUCUAGUAUAAAUAUCUCAACAUUCUUAAAUCAAGAUGCAAUCACUUGAGAAGCAAAAUGACUUAAAGGGGUGCUGUUAUGCUUUUUCACUUUUUCAACUUUAGUUAGUCUGUAAUGUUGCUGUUUGAGCAUAAAAAAGAUCUGCAAAGCUCAGAGUCUAAUUCAAAAGGAGAUAUUUUAUUUAACAGAAAUCACUUUUCAAGAACUACAAUGAAUGACUCGUUGGACUACAACGCAUCUUUUCCGGGAUUUGUGAUAUCACAAAGAUCGAUGAAUGGGACGAGACCUGGUUAAACUGCACUAGAGAAGGCAGCGAGUGUUAUCACUAUGUCAGAGAUGGGCUAGUGUUCCCAAGACAAACAAACUUAGAGUGGUUACAAUCAUCCAGGUUUAAAUCACGCUCAAAUUGUUUGAUUUUGAUGCAAUAUUUACACUGACUGAAGCUCGCAGCAGGCGGCUAUAAUAAGGACAUGACAUUUCCCUAUCAGGCGCCCAGUGCUGUCAAUCACAACACACACUGACCCAGCUAACCAAUCACAACACAGACAGGCCCAGCUAACCAAUCACAACACAGACUGGCGCAGCUAACCAAUCACAGCACAUUUCGUAUUUCAGAAGGUGGGCCUUCAUUUGUUACAGGAACAAUUCCAGCCGUUCAUGCCAGACUGGGGAGAGAGCUGUUGUAAUAAUGUAAAAUAUGUGAAAAAUAUGUUUUUAGAACAACCUACUGUAGUAUGAGAGUCUGUUCUAGUACACCCCUAAAAUAAAAUUAAGACCUUGUAAAAGAGCAUAAUAGGACCCCUUUAAGAUAUUAUGUCUUGUUUUCUGGAGAAGAAAAUUAUCAAAACUUUGUUAGUUUUUGCUUAAAAGAGAAUCAGAAUCAGAAAGAGCUUUAUUGCCAAGUAUGCUUGCGCAUACAAGGAAUUUGUUUUAGUGACAUAAGCUUCCAGUACACAGAGACAACAACAACACAAAAUAAAUUGCAAAUAAAUAAAUUGUAUGAACAGUUGUGCUAUAGAUGAUAAUGGAUUAGAAUAGAGUAAGAUGCAGAGAUGUACUUGGAUGGAGGGGUAACAAAUAAAUAUAAAGAUAUUGCACAUAUUUAUUGCAUAAGUGGGG
ensembl:lncRNA